rnacentral:rRNA from 1 species
CUCAAAUCAGGUAGGACUACCCGCUGAACUUAAGCAUAUCAAUAAGCGGAGGAAAAGAAACUAACAAGGAUUCCCCUAGUAACUGCGAGUGAAGCGGGAAGAGCUCAAAUUUGUAAUCUGGCGGUUCUGCCGUCCGAGUUGUAAUCUGGAGAAGCGUUUUCCGUGCCGGACCGUGUACAAGUCCCUUGGAACAGGGCGUCAUAGAGGGUGAGAAUCCCGUCUCUGACACGGACUGCCGGUGCUCUGCGAUGCGCUCUCGAAGAGUCGAGUUGUUUGGGAAUGCAGCUCAAAAUGGGUGGUAAAUUCCAUCUAAAGCUAAAUAUUGGCGAGAGACCGAUAGCGAACAAGUACCGUGAGGGAAAGAUGAAAAGCACUUUGGAAAGAGAGUAAAACAGUACGUGAAAUUGUUGAAAGGGAAACGCUUGAAGUCAGUCGCGUCUUCCGGAACUCAGCCUUGCUUCUGCUCGGUGCACUUUCCGGUGUGACGGGCCAGCAUCGGCUUCGCGGGGCGGACAAAGGGGAGGGGAAGGUGGCAGCUCCGGCUGUGUUAUAGCCCCUCUCUGCACGCGUCCCGCGGGGCCGAGGAAUCCGGCGCUUGCGCCUGGGAUGCUGGCGUAAUGGCUUUAAGCGACCCGUCUUGAAACACGGACCAAGGAGUGCUACAUGCUCGCGAGUGUUUGGGUGAAAAACCCGGGCGCGUAAUGAAAGUGAAAGUCGAUACCCUUUGCUGGGGCACCGACGCCCGAGCCCGAUGUUUUCGGAGGGCCUUGCGGUAGAGCGAGUAUGUUGCGACCCGAAAGAUGGUGAACUAUUCCUGAGGAGGGCGAAGCCAGGAAACUCUGGUGGAGGCUCGUAGCGGUUCUGACGUGCAAAUCGAUCGCAGGACUUGG